rnacentral:snoRNA from 1 species
AUUGGUUGAAAAUCACCCCCCCGGCUUUGGCCAUGGCAGCGGGUGAGAUUCGGCACCCAGAGCCUCCAGGGGCUUCAGCUCACCGCGCGCUGACACAUGUGCGGCGGUGAAACCCAGCCCCAACAGGC